GACGAACGCUGGCGGCGUGCUUAACACAUGCAAGUCGAGCGGUAAGGCCCUUCGGGGUACACGAGCGGCGAACGGGUGAGUAACACGUGGGUGACCUGCCUCUAGCUCUGGGAUAAGCCUGGGAAACUGGGUCUAAUACCGGAUAUGACUCCACGGCGCAUGUUGUGGGGUGGAAAGCCUUGUGUGGCUAGAGAUGGGCCCGCGGCCUAUCAGCUUGUUGGUGGGGUGAUGGCCACCAAGGCGACGACGGUAGCCGGCCUGAGAGGGCGACCGGCCACACUGGGACUGAGACACGGCCCAGACUCCUACGGGAGGCAGCAGUGGGGAAUCUUGCGCAAUGGGCGAAAGCCUGACGCAGCGACGCCGCGUGAGGGAUGACGGCCU
rnacentral:rRNA from 1 species